GACGAACGCUGGCGGCGUGCUUAACACAUGCAAGUCGAACGAUGAAGAAGAGAAACUCGAACGUCGGUUCAAGUUUCACUUCGGAGUAGUGGCAGACUGGUGAGUAACGCGUUAUCAACCUACCUCUUACAAAGGGAUAUCCUCGGGAAACCGUGAUUAAUACCAUAUGACACAUUCAUAAGGCAUCUUAAGAUUGUUAAAGCUACGGCGGUAAGAGAUGGGCUCGCGUCACAUUAGCUAGUUGGUGAGGUAACGGCCCACCAAGGCGACGAUGGGUAACUGGCAUGGGAGCGUGACAGAUUAGAUUGGAACUGCGGCACAGACCACAACGCGACGGGAGGGAGCAGUGGGGAGUAUUACACACUGAAGGGUAAUCUGGUGACGCGGCGCGGCGUGAGAGAUGAAGGAAUUCGUAUCGUAAAGCUCUGUUCUAUGGGAAGAAAAGGACUGUAACAUAGGAGAAAGCCCCGGCUAAAUACGUG
rnacentral:rRNA from 1 species